GAAAUUCCAGGUCAUAGACAUACACUGAUUGAAACUAUGUGCUCUGGCUGAUUAGAAUUCAAUUCUCUGACCCUCCUGUAAUUCCACUGCAGUUUAAUUAAAACUCAUUAAACUGACAUCACAUUCCAGCAGAUAAUUAGAAAAAUAGUACACACUUUAAGUACAUCGUCUUAUUCUGGCUACAUUUAAUGUAAAAGAUGAAUCACACAAACAAUGGUUACUAGUAGAAAUUACCAAUAAUUUUGCCUUUUACUGCCCUAGGCUCUCAUUUUGCAUGAUCUUGUAUAAUUAUCACAACAACCUUAUGAAGUAUGUAAGAUAGGCCCAGAGAGGCUUAGUACUUUGCUCAAGACCACAUAGCACCAGUAGGAAGUACCCUUUGUCUACAUGAUUUUAAAGCCUUUUGUGUCUCUGUUUUUUCACUACCAUUUCAUUUUUUUCAACAGUCUACAUUGUGAGUAUUACCUACCUAGCCUAGCACCCUUCCUCUGGUGAAACAGUCAUGAACACAAUGGGACCAGUGGGAUGAAGCUGUUUCCUAUAUCAAGAUUUUAAGAUCACCAGUGAAAAGAAUGAAGAAAUCUAUUGUAAACUGGAUUACCUAGAAAGCAGUCUCUGGGAAAGGGAGCAGGUGCAGGAAGGCAUUAGAACUACUUGGGAUCAAUACCGUCCACCAUGAGGUGUAUGUCUUCUUGGUACUAUGUUCUCUCUUCUCUCUUUUGAUCUGCUACAGUCGGGGCUCCUUUGGCUUGGGAGGGAUUUUCAGUCAUCCAGGGCUGAGAAAGGGCUUCCAGUAGUGGAACACUGGCCACGUCUUCAUGGAUGAUACAAGCUGAGGACCUGAAGGAAGAGCACUGACUAAGCCACUUUUCUGUUUCACCUGUGAAUAUAAAUAUGAGAAGUGUAGUAUCUCUAGUCUCAUCCAUGUGGUUUAAUCACCUUUCAUUUAUCCUUUCAUUUAUUUAUUAACAAGCUACAUAUUUUCAUAGGCAGUCACUCUGACUCAUAAAUACAAAUACAAAGAGCAAUAAAAUAUCAAGCCUUUAGAACUUUAGUUGCCUGAUGCUGGGUGUGGUGAGGAGUGAGCAGGAGUAAGUAGUGAACCACUGUUGGUGCAUCAAAGAGGCUAACAACUUUCAGAGGCAUUUGCAUUGUUUAGUUCCCUAGAUUGAUGGGUAAGAGAAUUUUCUAAAAGAACUGAGAUCAAAAGUAACCUUCCCCAUUUAAGUCACAGAGAUAGGCCACAGCAUUCCACAGUUAUGAGGGUAGGUUGAUUGGGGUGAGAGGAGAUGAAAAUAUCUAGAAUGCAAUGAGGUUGUAUCCCAUCUGGAAGGAAGAACCACUGAAAUUAGGAACAAGACAACGGUCAUCAUAGAGUUGAAUCUG
rnacentral:lncRNA from 10 species